rnacentral:rRNA from 1 species
CCUACGGGGGGCAGCAGUGGGGGAUAUUGCACAAUGGGGGGAACCCUGACGCAGCGACGCCGCGUGGGUGAAGAAGCGCCUCGGCGCGUAAAGCCCUGUCAGCAGGGAAGAAAAUGACGGUACCUGAAGAAGAAGCCCCGGCUAACUACGUGCCAGCAGCCGCGGUAAUACGUAGGGGGCAAGCGUUAUCCGGAUUUACUGGGUGGAAAGGGGGCGCAGACGGGGAUGCAAGCCAGGGGUGAAAGCCCGGGGCCCAACCCCGGGACUGCUCUUGGAACUGCGUGGCGGGAGUGCAGGAGGGGCAGGCGGAAUUCCUGGUGUAGCGGUGAAAUGCGUAGAUAUCAGGAGGAACUCCGGUGGCGAAGGCGGCCUGCUGGACUGCAACUGACGUUGAGGCCCGAAAGCGUGGGGAGCAAACAGGAUUAGAUACCCCAGUAGUC